rnacentral:rRNA from 1 species
AGUUGUUGCUGGUCUCCGUAUGGGGGCAUGUGCACGCUCUGUUUACACAUCCACUCACACCUGUGCACGCUCUGUAGUUCUAUGGCCUGGGUGGGCUCUGUCCUCCUGCUGUGGUUCUAUGUCUUUACACACACACUACAACAAAGUCUCAUGGAAUGUAUGUCGCGUUUAACGCAAUGGAAUACAACUUUCAGCAACGGAUCUCUUGGCUCUCGCAUCGAUGAAGAACGCAGCGAAAUGCGAUAAGUAAUGUGAAUUGCAGAAUUCAGUGAAUCAUCGAAUCUUUGAACGCACCUUGCGCCCUUUGGCUAUUCCGAAGGGCAUGCCUGUUUGAGUAUCAUGAACACCUCAACUCUCAUGGCUUGCCAUGAUGUGCUUGGACUUUGGGGGUCUUGUUGGCCUGUGAGCCAGCUCCUCUUAAAUGAAUCAGCUUGCCGGUGUUUGGUGGCGUCACAGGUGUGAUAACUAUCUACGCUUGUGGUUUCCCACCAGGGUAACCUUCAGCAAUGAAGGUUCACCGGAGCUUAUAAAUGUCUCUCCUCAGUGAGGACAGAUUUUGACCAUUUGAUCUCAAAUCAGGUAGGACUACCCGCUGAACUUAAGCAUAUCAAUAAGCGGAGGAAAAGAAACUAACAAGGAUUCCCCUAGUAACUGCGAGUGAAGCGGGAAGAGCUCAAAUUUAAAAUCUGGCGUGCCUCCGGCCGUCCGAGUUGUAGUCUGGAGAAGCGUUUUCCGUGCUGGACCGUGUACAA